rnacentral:tRNA from 1 species
UCCUCGGUGGCUCAGAUGGAUAGAGCGUCUGCCAUGUAAGCAGGAGAUCCCAGGUUCGAGUCCUGGUCGGGGAA